rnacentral:ncRNA from 1 species
AAGGCCUGAUGUGUGUGAGAUUACCCGCUGAAUUUAAGCAUAUAAGUAAGCGGAGGAAAAGAAACUAACUAGGAUUCCCUUAGUAAUGGCGAAUGAACAGGGAUCAGCUCAGUGCCAAAUCGGAAUCACUUGUGGUUCUGAAAUGUGGCUUGAAGGCAGUACCAGUGGCAUCGCGGACGAAAGUCUCUUGGAAAAGAGCGUCAUAGAGGGUGAGAAUCCCGUGAGUCGUUCGCCGUUUGUCACGUACGGUCUGCGUUCUAACGAGUCGCGUUCCUUGGGAUGGAGCGUAAACGGGUGGUAAAUUUCAUCCAAAGCAAAAUAUAUACUCGAGACCGAUAGCACAAAAGUACCGUGAGGGAAAGUGAAAAGA